rnacentral:misc_RNA from 1 species
CGAUCCGCGUUUAUACGCCUGUGGCGACUCAGGCGCGGUCUUCCAAUUCAGUUUACCAGUUACGAUGCACUGCCAGCGGCGUUAGCUCGUUAGUGCCUCGAAAUUUCGAUGAGCGACAUGCGCCACUCGACCGCUGAUGCGUGGCGCGGACGAAAUAUCGUAGGUGUCUGCUUCGAAAAAAAACACACACGUGUGCCAAUUGCGGCGCAACUUUUCAGCGUUCCGCGCGCUAUUGACCCGUACGAGUCUGGCCCUCGCUGCAGGCUCUACUCUGAUACCUCAGUGAUAGGCACUGGCAGCGUGC